GACAGAGGGGGCAAGCGUUGCUCGGAAUCACUGGGCGUAAAGGGCGCGUAGGCGGGAUGGCAAGUCAGUCGUGAAAUCUCUCGGCUCAACCGAGAAACGUCGGCUGAUACUGCCGUUCUGAGGGAUGCAGAGGAGACUGGAAUUCCCGGUGUAGCGGUGAAAUGUGUAGAGAUCGGGAGGAACACCGGUGGCGAAGGCGGGUCUCUGGGCAU
rnacentral:rRNA from 1 species